rnacentral:rRNA from 1 species
GACGAACGCUGGCGGCGUGCUUAACACAUGCAAGUCGAACGGGUCUGCCCUGUUUUUUGCGGGGUGGGUCAGUGGCGAACGGGUGAGUAACACGUGAGUAACCUGCCCCUCACUUCUGGAUAACCGCUUGAAAGGGUGGCUAAUACGGGGUGUUCUGGCUGUGCCGCAUGGUGUGGCUGGGAAAGAUUCACUUUUGUGGUGUUUUGGUGGGGGAUGGGCUCGCGGCCUAUCAGCUUGUUGGUGGGGUGAUGGCCUGCCAAGGCCUUGACGGGUAGCCGGCCUGAGAGGGUGGGCGGUCACACUGGGACUGAGAUACGGCCCAGACUCCUGCGGGAGGCAGCAGUGGGGGGUAUUGCACAAUGGGCGGAAGCCUGAUGCAGCGACGCCGCGUGAGGGAUGGAGGCCUUCGGGUUGUGAACCUCUUUCGCCGGUGAAGAAGGUCCUGCUCUUUGUGGUGGGGUUGACGGUAGCCGGGUUAUGAAGCGCCGGCUAACUACGUG